UACGUAGGGGGCAAGCGUUGUUCGGAUUUACUGGGCGUAAAGGGCGCGUAGGCGGCGCAACAAGUCACUUGUGAAAUCUCCGGGCUUAACCCGGAGCGGUCAAGUGAUACUGUCGUGCUAGAGUGCGGAAGGGGCUACUGGAAUUCUCGGUGUAGCGGUGAAAUGCGUAGAUAUCGAGAGGAACACCUGCGGCGAAGGCGGGUAGCUGGGCCGACACUGACGCUGAUGCGCGAAAGCCAGGGGAGCGAACGGG
rnacentral:rRNA from 1 species